CGGACUUUAAACUGCUGAAGUUACCCAUCCAGCAGCACAGGAUGUCUUUCCACUUUCUAGUGUCUAUCUGUUUCCUCAGAGGCUUAAGUUUUCAUUACAGAGGCCUGUCACUUCCUUGGUUAGGUUUACUCCUAACCUAUUGCUAGGCUAAUUGAGAAUGAUACUGUCAUCCAUGACCUCCUUUCCUCUAUGUGGGAUUUUUUUUUUUUGAAAAGCUAUUUAUUUGUGCAAGUUGAUUCUGUAUCCUACCAUGUUGCUGAAUUUGUUUAUCAUUCCUAAACGUUUUCUGAUAGAAGUUUUGGAUCUCUAAUGCACAGGAUUAUCAUCUGCAAAGAGGAUAGUAUGAUCUGCUUCUCUAUUUGUAUCCCUUUAAUCUCCUUCUCUUGCUUUACUGCUCCAGCUAGUGCUCAGAGGACAGCACUGAUUUCAGUUGGAUUACAUGUGGGUUUCUUGUACAUAGCUUUUAUUAUGCUGAGGUAUGUGCCCUCCAUUCAGAUAUUCUCUAGGACUUUUAUCAUGAAGGUAUCAUUUUGACAAAGGCUUUCUCUGCAUCUGUUGAGAUGAUCAUGUGAUUUUUGUCAUUAAGUCCAUUUAUAUAGUUUAUUACAUUAACUGGCUUCCAUAUGUUAAACCAUCCCUGCAUUUCAGGAAUAAAGCUAACUUGGUCAUAGUGGAUAAUCUUUUGGAUGCAGCUCUGCUCAAAGACCGCUCAUCACCACCCUCAGGAGUGUUUCCGGGGCAAACUGAAGGGAUGGAGGUCAGCCUCUACCCGCUCUGCCUUCUGACAUUCCCUGUCUCCUCUUCCAGAGUCAAGGGCUCCCUGCCCGUGCCAGCCAAGCUGCGGGCUGCUCACAUGCCAUCCCCUGUGCUCAGUGUGGGACUGACUGCUCACGGAAACUUCCAUCAGCCUGAGUUCUAGCAUGAUGAGAGGGCCCAGCCCGUAACCGCUGCCAGAAGUCUGCUCACCUCUUUGAUCAGACACCUGUCCUUCUGACGGGGAAGCUCCCCUGCUCACCCGACCCCAGGCCACUACCCAAGGAACCCGUGACCUCCUCAGCUUCUUUUCCUAAUCAAAACAGACCUUUCUAUAUGUUCAAGCCUAAAAUUUAACAGCAUUUUCUAUACGACAGUCUCCAAAAAACUCAGAGAUGGAACUACUCCAUAGCUGUGCAUUAAUAACUGUAGAUUAGCACAAACUGAUACCUGCAGAGCAAAUGUCAUUUUCUUAGUGACUACAAGAGAACUACUUACUAUCCACAUAGCCAAAACCCGACUUCCUAACUUUAGCCCCUAUCUUUCCACUGGCAACAUUUUUUUUUUUUGGAAGAUGUGCUUAUUAAAUGUAUUUAGCCAUGUGAAGGCAAUAGCAAUUGAUUCAGAGAUAUUCCAGCAGACAGACAGGGAGAACACGUGUGCGGCAAAAUGUCACAACUGCUGGGUUUUCACAAGACAAAUGGGUGUUCCGUGUAGUGUUCUUCCGGUGUUUCUUAAUGUAAAUACUUUCAUUAUGAAUUCUGUAUGCUUAUGUGUGUUGGCAUGUGCAUCUGUCUAGGCAGGUGCACAUGUGAUGCUCACAUGUUUUUGCGUGUACACUAGUCAUGCUUAUGUGUGUUGGUGUGCACACAAGUCAUGCUUACAUAUAUUGGUGUAUGCGCCUGUGAUGCUUAUGUGUGUUGGUGUGUGAUGCUUAUUUACCUGUCUAUGCAGGUGCACGUGUGAUACUUACAUGUUUUUGUGUGUUCACCUGUCAUGCUUAUGUGUGUUGGCGUGUGCAUCUAUCUAUGCAGGUGCACGUGUGAUACUUACAUGUUUUUGUGUGUUCACCUGUCAUGCUUAUGUGUGUUGGUGUGUGUACCUGUCUAUGCAGGCGGAUAUAUGAAGGCCAGAAGACAACCUCAGUGCCAUCCUCAGGAGCUGUCCAUCCUUUUUAAGACAGGGUUCCUCAUAAGCACGAAGUCCACAAAGCAGGCUGAACUGGCUGACAGGGAGUCCCAGGGAUCUGCCUCCUCAUUGCUGGGAUUGCACAUGCACACCACCACCCUCGGCAGCUUUAUUUUUCUUUUUUAGUUAAUUAUUUUAUUUAUUUAUUUAUUUACAUUCCAAUUGUUGCCCCUCCUCCAGGUCCCCACCCCUCACUUCCUCUCCCGAUUCCCUCUCCACCCUGCCUCCAAGAGGAUGCUCCCCUUCUCCCCCUCCCCCAAGGUAUCCUCUGUCCUUGGAUCUCAAGUUUCUCGAGGAUCACCCUCAGAGGAUCACCCUCAGCGUUUUUAACAAUGGUUCUGUAGAUCAAACUCAGGCUCUCCAGUCUGUGACAGCACUUUACUAACUAGGCCAUUUCCACAGGCGGAACAACAAAAACCCAUGUUUCCUGGUAUCCUGAACCUCUAAACUGUGUCUCCCAAGGCUCUAAUUGGCCAGCCUAGGCUGUCCAUCACCGCCAGCACCACCCUUCUAAGACAGAUAACAUGGCUGCUCUAAAUAAACGUAGAUGGUGACUCCAGAGCACUUUCAUGAUAGAGUUUAAAUGCAUUAAAAUGCAAUGUCUUUGCUAAGGUUAAACAUCACACUGAUGCCUCCCACAUCCCUGGGUGUGCCGGGCCAGUCUAUCUCUCACUGUAUCUCUACCUAUUCCAAACUGUGGUUGAACUACUCAUACACAUGCCUACGUCUAAUGACAGGCGGUGUAAGCAGAUGGGAUCCGCACAGAGGAAAACAAGCUUAAACAGAAAAUCUGUUCCUAAAUCCAAGUACUCCUAUUCAGCAAUUCUUUUCUACAUCAGCAGAGGGCACCCUAAUUUUAUUUAUGGAGAAGAAAAUGAAACCUUAAGGACAGCAAAUUUCACAACCUUCAGAUGAAGUGUUUAAGAUUUAAAAUAUAUAAGGAAUGUAAAACUAAAUGUUCAAUAUGGACCUGAUAGGAGCAAAUAUCUCCUUUAUUCCAAAAGGGUGAGGUAGGAACCAUACCAUACUUCAGUGGACUCUCUAGUUGCAGGUCAUUGGUGUUGCCGAGUGCUACAGCAACCAUACAGAGGAGAUGCCUACUGAAGUGGGCCCAGGGUCUGCAGGACCCACAACCUCUGAGUGCAGACAAUAAGUGAUGGCGAAGGGCUUGGCCCAGGAUAAGACAGCUAUGAUCCACCAUCCCUUGGCUCCAAAUGAGACCUCUAGGAUCCACCAUUCUUUGGCUCAGGGAACACUGUGGAAGAGGGGGAUAAGAUUAUAACAGGAGACAAGAUGAUGGGGAGGGACAGAACAGAGAGGUAUCUUCUGGGCACAGCAAGCCAGUCAUUCAGGGAUAUACUGCAGCUACAGAUAAGGAGAUAGAUAGAUGAGAUAGAGAUAGAGAUAGAGAUAGAGAUAGAGAUAGAGAGAGAGAGAGAGAGAGAUAGAGAUAGAGAUAGAGAUAGAGAUAGAGAUAGAGAUAGAGAUAGAUAUGCAUGCAUGCAUAAGGCCCCAUGGCAUUCCACCCUGACCUGGGGAGGGGACAGGAGAUAUCUACCUCUUCCUGAGGAACUGUUGUUGGAAGUCGAGGGUAGCUGGGGGAAGUGCUGUUCUGUUCAGUGGUACAGCCAGUGAGAAAUAACCCCAACCCACACUUGGUCAAGAGACUAACUGGACUCAUGCAAAGAAGACAUGACAAUAGGAAGGGGUUUGCUGAAGAUUACAAGGGGAGGGGGGGCAAAGGCGACAGGAUGGGGGGAACGACAACUCCCUUCAUGAAUAUAUGAGACUAUCAAACAAUUUAAAAUUAAAAAUUUUUUUUAAAAGUGAUAAUAUACCAAAAUUCUCAGUGCUGUUAGACUCUGACCCACCAGUGUAAAGUAAGGAAGUUACUCCCAGAAUUAAUUGAGUCUACAACAAGGAGACAACAGAACCUUCCAGGUUAAGGACAGUGCUUUGGUCGAAAGCGACUUCCCCUGCCCACAUCUGACACACUUUGGCUUUCCCUGUGCUCUAAGUCAGUCCCUCCUUCCAUCUCAGGUCUGGCUUUACAGGAUCAAAGAGGGGCUAACAAUUAAGUGGCCCCAUUUUAGAAGUGACCUCAACUCUUGCUGUCCAACACCAUUUCACUCCACUUAGCACAUGCAGCGUUUAUAACGAUGAGACACCGGGUGAUGGCCAGGGACCACGACAGGGGCCAACUAUCAGACUACAAAGUUUUCAUCAUCUUAAAACCAGCUCCAUUUCUAAAAUGCUCAUGUGUGGGUGCAGAUUUUAUCCUGCCAUUAUGCUCAGAAUUAGAGAUUCGAGUUGCCUGUAGCAUAGCAUCCCUGUGCAUAUGGUAGUCACAGUCAUGGCUAGACUGCACUCCGACCGGAAAAGGGAGAGCAUGCUGGGUAGGGAUGGAAACACCCAGGGGGAAUGGGGCUCUCCGCAUGGUGUAAAGUGCCAAACCUGCUCAAGCCUGGGUAGUAAUAGGAGACACUGGCAUCUCUCAAAGACACAGCCUCUCUGCCAAGGUCCUCCGUUUCUAGAGACUGCAACGGGGCAGUAUUCUGUUCAGUGAACAAGGCCCAUUGGUAUCACCAGGUGCCACCAGAUGAGAUCUGCCUUUCCAGCUUGACAAAAAUCAACACCCUCUGGUGGAAACUCUAAAGACUCUUGGGGCUGCCUCAGAGCUGAACCUAUUGAAGUAACAGCAAUGAAGAUGUAACCUCCCAAAAAGAAAAGUGUCAGUUGGGGAUUUAGCUCAGUGGUAGAGGGCUUGCCUAGCAAGCGCAAGGCCCUGGGUUCGGUCCUCAGCUCCAAAAAAAAAGAAAAAAAAAGAAAGAAAAGUGUCCAUUUCUGACACACAUUUAAGGUGAAAUCCUGUUGCUCCCAUAGCUCCAAA
rnacentral:sRNA from 1 species